ACUGGGAGAGGACGUUCAAGACUGUCGGACUAGAGGACGGUAGAGGAAGGUAGAAUUCCCGGUGUAGUGGUGAAAUGCGUAGAUAUCGGGAGGAAUACCAGUGGCGAAGGCGGCCUUCUGGGCCGUUCCUGACGCUCAGACGCGAAAGCUAGGGGAGCAAACGGGAUUAGAAACCCCGGUAGUCCUAGCCGUAAACGAUGUAGACUUGGUGUCGGUGGGGUAAAAGCCAGCGGUGCCGAAGCAAACGCGAUAAGUCUACCGCCUGGGGACUACGGCCGCAAGGUUAAAACUCAAAGGAAUUGACGGGGGCCCGCACAAGCAGCGGAGCGUGUGGUUUAAUUCGAUGCUACACGAAAAACCUUACCCAGGUUUGACAUGCAAGUGGUAGUGAAGCGAAAGCGGAACGACCCUUCG
rnacentral:rRNA from 1 species